AAGGGUGCUCAGCGCCCGACCUCCAACCCUUUGUUGUUAAAACUACCUUGUUGCUUUGGCGGGACCGCUCGGUCUCGAGCCGCUGGGGAUUCGUCCCAGGCGAGCGCCCGCCAGAGUUAAACCAAACUCUUGUUAUUUAACCGGUCGUCUGAGUUAAAAUUUUGAAUAAAUCAAAACUUUCAACAACGGAUCUCUUGGUUCUCGCAUCGAUGAAGAACGCAGCGAAAUGCGAUAAGUAAUGUGAAUUGCAGAAUUCAGUGAAUCAUCGAAUCUUUGAACGCACAUUGCGCCCCUUGGUAUUCCGAGGGGCAUGCCUGUUCGAGCGUCAUUACACCACUCAAGCUAUGCUUGGUAUUGGGCGUCGUCCUUAGUUGGGCGCGCCUUAAAGACCUCGGCGAGGCCACUCCGGCUUUAGGCGUAGUAGAAUUUAUUCGAACGUCUGUCAAAGGAGAGGAACUCUGCCGACUGAAACCUUUAUUUUUCUAGGUUGACCUCGGAUCAGGUAGGGAUACCCGCUGGACUUAAGCAUAUCAAUAAGCGGGAGGAAAAAGAAACCAACAGGGAUUGCCCUAGUAACGGCGAGUGAAGCGGCAACAGCUCAAAUUUGAAAGCUAGCCUUCGGGUUCGCAUUGUAAUUUGUAGAGGAUGAUUUGGGGGAA
rnacentral:rRNA from 1 species